UAGAAACCCUAGGAAAGAGAUCUGGA
rnacentral:piRNA from 1 species